rnacentral:lncRNA from 1 species
UACCUCUGCUUCCCAAGUGCUGGGAUUAAAGGCAUGCUCCACCACUGCCUGGCUACCUUUUCAAAUGUAUGGUAAUUAUUAUUAUCUCUGCUCUAUACACUGCUUUUCCCUCAACUCUUUAGUAAAGCAGACAAGUGCUCGUGUCCUAGUUAACCUUUGUUUAUGUAUUUCAAAGUAUCCACUCUAUGUUUUAAAGUUACAUAGGUUUGGGGAAGUAUACAGUGUUUGGCAUAUAGGAUAGUUUAACUACUAUAAACUUCUUCUUUGCCUUAUCUAGUCAAUCUUACCCCCCCCCCCUUCCCUCAAACUCCUACUAACCAACCAUGCUUUUCCUGCUUUACCGUUUUUGCCUUUCCCACAGUGAGGUUAGUAGAACUGUGAAGUAUGCAAUAUUCUCAAACUGGCUGCCUUCACUUAUCCAUAUGAACUUUAGGCUCACGCAGAUCUUUUGGUAUCUUCAUACAUCACUUGCUUUUAUUGUUGCCUGGUAUUCUAAGUUAAUUCAUCAGUUCUAAGACAUCUUGCUUACUCCUAUUCUUUGUAAUUUAGGAAUAAAGUUGCUAUAAACAACUGUGAAUAUAAACUUUCAAGUCAGUUAGGUAAAGAUGUAGGGACACAAUUGCUGGAUCUCGUAGUAAGAGUAACUUUGUGAAAAAUGAUUAGGUGGUAUUCCAAAAAGGUUGGGCCAUAAUGGCACAGAUUUCUUGUUCUGCAUCCUUGCCAGUGUUGUGUUGUGUUUGGAUUUUAACCAUUCAAAUAGGUAAAUUAGGGUGUCUCAUUUGUUUCAAUUUGUAGUUCUCACGUGAUAUAUGACAUUGAGCCUCUUUUCAUAUGCAUAUUUUCCAUCUCUAUCAUUUUUGAAGAAAUGUUUGUUUGGAUCUCCUCUAAAUUUCCGUUGUUUUCUUAUUGGUAUAUAUUACAAUUUGUAUGUAUAUUUUGAAUACCAAGCCAUUUGUGUAAUUUAUGUAUAUUCAUGAGUCUGUCACUUUAAAGACUAAUUCUUUUAAUAAUGUCUUUUAUAAAGCAGAUUUAAAUUUUAAUAAAAUUCUAUUAUUUUUUUUUCUUUAGGAAACUUUUCAUUAGCUUUAUUUAGACUAUGUAUGUGUGUUUGUAGGUGUGUACACAUGCACAUAUAUGUGCCACAUCAUAUUUAUGGAAGUCAGAGGACAUCUUCUAGCACUCAUUUUUCUUUUUCUACCAUCUAAGGACCAGGGGAUGAACUCAGGUUGUCAGGUUCGCUGGCAAGAGCCUUUACUCAUUAAGUCAACUCAUCAGUCUGUGGUUUUGUUUUGUUUUGUUUUGUUUUGUUUUGUUUUGUUUUGUUUUGUUUUGUUUUAGUGAAUCUUGGCUUUGGUACCUUAUCAAAGGUUCAUUAUUAUGCUUAAUGUAUUUUAGAGUUUUUUUUUCUCAUAUUUUCC